UCAGGAAAUACAGGAAAUUUAAUUUUAAAAUUAGAAAAAGUUUUUAUUUAAUGGGAUUAAGGAGAGCAUUGGGUUAGUGCGGCUUAAAGAUGUAAGAAUGAGCGCAGAAUGGCAGCCUGCCAACAACGUAGAGUCAGCCUCUGGCUCUGUCCUCAAUGGAGACUGGGUGAGGGAUAGCAGGACUCUGAAUCCCAGAGGUCUGUAGAAGGGAGCUGCCCAGCCAAGAGCCAUGACUCUUAGAUUAGGAAGGAAUCUGGCAACCUUAAGACCUUGACAAUUAUGAAGAUAAAUUUGGCUAUUGGGAAUAAUGGUGAGACCACAUUGGCUCUUCUGUGUGACAGAGAAGCAACUCUAGAGAAGGAACCUGUUAGCUGAACUUGCGGCAACUAUCUGAUAAACCACUUACCGGAGACUCUGCAGCCAGAUGCCCCCAGGAGAGACUCAUCUGUGAUGUGGUUUUGAGAGCAUUCUAGUUUUCCAUGGUGCUUCCUCCUCCGAAUUCCAGUAACACCUUCUCUGUACUUUUCUUACAUUAUCCCGACUAAGGAAGGAGCAAAGGGUUCAGGGUUGGAAUUUCUGGAUUUAAGUUGGGUUGCUGCUCUAUUAUUGAUAAAUCUCCUCAUUCAGCUACAUGAGCUUCAGCGCUCUCCUUUAUAA